rnacentral:lncRNA from 1 species
CUGCCAACAUUUGCUGGUCAACUUGCUACUUUCUGAAGCCCCAAGGUCCUGGAUCCAAAUUUGCAUUCAACACAUGUUUGCCUUAAUCUUGGAUCUACCAAAUAUUUUCCUUAGGCUUUGAACAUGAGCUGUAUUCCUUAGUUAUUACAAUGCAAAAUGCCAUUCCAACAGCAAUUCUGAUUCACUCCAAACCCUGUUAUACUAUGGAAAUUCAACAGAUCACCAAUUGAGGGGGCACCAUGGAAGCACAGUGCCCCCAUCUUUCUUUAUUUGGAGUUCAAAAUCCAGCAUGGUCCAGGGAUCACCACCAGCCUCCUCCUUUCCCUAAAUUCCAGGAUUGUUAACUCUGGAGGAUUCAUCAAAGAAGAGUUACAUUCUCCCUGCUGACACGCCACACAGCCCCUUCCCAUUUCCAGGGGGUUUGUGCAAGCUGUAAAUCCCCGGGGCAUCUGAAUUCCCCUUAAACAAAAGUCUGUCUCCUAACCAAACAGAACCUUCUUGAAGUCAGCAAAAUGGCUACUUUGUGGCAUUAAAAGGAUUUUUCCUCCC